rnacentral:rRNA from 1 species
CCCUUAGAUGUUCUGGGCCGCACGCGCGCUACACUGAUGCAUUCAACGAGCCUAUCCUUGACCGACAGGUCCGGGUAAUCUUUGAAUCUGCAUCGUGACGGGGAUAGAUUAUUGCAAUUAUUAAUCUUCAACGAGGAAUGCCUAGUAGGCGCAAGUCAUCAGCUUGCGUCGAUUACGUCCCUGCCCUUUGUACACACCGCCCGUCGCUCCUACCGAUUUCGAGUGGUCCGGUGAAUCUUUCGGACUGCGCGCGGCCUUGAGUCGUGUCGCGGAAAGUCAGGUAAACCUUAUCACUUAGAGGAAGGAGAAGUCGUAACA